rnacentral:lncRNA from 1 species
CGAUACCGUUGCGAUUCUAUGAAUGAUCCCUAUGUACUGUGACACAACCACGAUAUAACCGACAGCACAUUGGAAGCCACAACAUCAACAUUAUGGCAAAGAACUGGUCGAAGUCUUGACUAGAAAUUGCAAGAGGAAAAGUGACAGCUGCUGUGUCUUGUUUGUAAAACAAAAAGCGAUCGAAUACUGGAGAUACUGAAGAUAGCCCACCAGCUGGAACUGCCUCAGAUGAGUAAAGCACUGAAGCUCGAAGACAGUGGCUCUGAAAAGCCGUGUUGAAGUUUUACAAGUUGCAGAUAAUAAAUUUAUGACCAAUAUUUUAUGAUUUGGACAGUUUUGGAUUAUGAAUUUUGCAGAUAGGGCUGAAACUUUUCAACUUAUCAUAAUACGAGGUAUAAGUAUGUCUGGCGUUGAGAAGGAAAGAAGAAGCGCUGUAUCGUGUCGCUACCUUUUACCACGCUUUUAGAAAAUGACUUCAACAAAAAGCCCUAAAACUGCCAACUGUUAAAACAAAUUGAAUAUUCUGUGCGAUGCAUGAUUUGCUGUACUAAAAAUUUUGUUGAAAGAAGAGUAUGGGUGUUGUUUUCAUUAUUCUUGGAUACAUUUUAAGAAAUAAUGGGAAAUA